rnacentral:RNase_P_RNA from 2 species
CAGACCUGCAGAUCGGUUGCAGGAGGGGAAGCCCCCCUGAGGAAAGUCCGGGCUCCUAAAGGGCAUGGUGCUGGGUAAUACCCAGGAGGAUUAAUCCUGAGGAUGUAUCUCCUGAGGAGAAAUCUCCUAAGGAGUUCUCCUUUGGACCAGUCCUACGGAAAGUGCCACAGAAACAAGACCGCCCCGGUUCUCAUGUGUAUCCCGAGAGGGAUAUACCGGAGUAAGGGUGAAAGGGUGAGGUAAGAGCUCACCGCCUGAAAUGGUGACAUUUCAGUGGCUGGUAAACCCCGCCAGGAGCAAGGCCAAAUAGAUUGGCGUAAAGUGACCCGCUUCUGCCAUACGGGUGGGCCGCUCGACGGUGAUGAAACCGCGCGAGAUAGAUGACCGUUCAAACAGAACCCGGCUUACUGCAGGUCUGUAUA